GUGCUCAAAUUGUAAAAACUAUAAACAUUGUAAUUACAGACGGGCGUAAUUUUUCCUGCCGAGCUCGAAGUUCGAAACAAAAUUGAUUUCGGUUCGUUGCGGUGUCAUAAAUGAAAUCCGGGAAUCGCUUCUACCGUUUUAAUGAUGUAUUACGCUCUGGUGUUCGUGUUUUGUUGCAGUGACAUCGGUGCGAUCGUCUUUAGCCUUCAGUCUUAUCGGCAAAGCAUCGUCCAUCAUUAUCCCAGAGCAAAAUACACUCUUCAACUCUUCUCACUCUUGUUCACUUCGGAAAAGAGAACCGUCGUUCUUACAAUACUGACUGUUGAUUCUCGGUACCACCUACUUUUCCAAUCGUAGUACAAUGUUACUUUUUUGGUAAAAAAUAGUUCAGUCCGCGUAACAACACUUCAUUGUCACCUGGACCAAAAUUGAUUCUUACCAAGAAUAUCAAACUGUAACUACGACUGAAAAAGUAGAUUGGACCUGCGUUUCUCCGAGACCGUCGGAACAGCGUGUGAGACAGGGUGGAACUUCAACACGUGCCAAAGCGACAACAACGGUGGCUGCCACUGAAGUCUGAACAGAGUCAAGAAUGGAUAUACUGCUCAUCGUCCACUCUCGAUGCUGAGCGUUGUCGCUGCAAGCAGGUUAGUAACCCACUCACUUUCAGCUCGCUCUUGUAACUUUGCGCCAAUUUCAGUUUUCUCCGAUUUUUUUAAUCUUUCUCUCUCCCUUUCAGCUCGGAUUCCCUUUCUCUUUCGACGGGCAGGUCCGGUCCCUGCUCGUGCCCUUCGUCGGUUCCAUGUUUGAAAUCCAGCUCGCUCGAAUCCUGCUUUAAUUAAUGGUCUCCGAGUCGCGGGAGUCAUUCGAAGAACCGUGACCUUGACCUUGACCCUUGAUUUGGCUUCGCGUGAUAUGACUUCUUGGAAAAAAAAGUCUGUGAAAUUACACGGAAAGGAAAUGAUCGACGAUGGAACUGCAAGAACACAAAUAUCGAUUUUUUUUUUUUUUUUUUUUUUUUUUUUUUUUUAAGAAGAGGAUUAUUAAUCGCAGUUUCGUACAAAAAUUUUAAAAAUAUUCUCGAAGAGGCAAAAAAAAACUAAAAUAUCCCGAACAUCGAUGAUCAGUUGGACUACAUUAUGCAAUCAGAACUAUAAUCUCUGCCUCACAGUCAGUCUAGAAACAACUUAUGUAAUAUUUGGCUCCCUGUGCCCUUACGUGUUUGCACGAAUGAACCAGAAAUUUAAUUUAUAAUUGUAGUUCCUAAAAAAUCCUUCAAAAAAUUAAAAUAUGAUAAUCAA
rnacentral:lncRNA from 1 species